GAUCUGCUGUCUGUGUUUACAUUUCGUGGUCGGUAGUUGACAUUUCGCUCGCUGUAGAUUUGCGUGUUUUUCAUGUAUUUUCCGGUCUCUAACGCCGCCAAUACAGUGCCGGCAGGCAGUGUGUGUGCGUGUGUGUGUGUGUGCGCGACAAAGAGAGACGGACAGAGAGAAGGGGGGAUGAACAUAAGGGCAGGAGGAGUAUUUUGGUCAGCACUGGUCAGUCUUGCCCCAUACACACACACACACACACACUAGUGAGUGUGCAGUGUGUGUGCGUGUGUGUGUGUGUGCGCGACAAAGAGAGACGGACAGAGAGAAGGGGGGAUGAACAUAAGGGCAGGAGGAGUAUUUUGGUCAGCACUGGUCAGUCUUGCCCCAUACACACACACACACACACACACUAGUGACCAGUGUUUCCAUAUUCCCUGGAGCUUCCUCCUGCAUUAAACACCACCAAGCAUCAUCAAAGAGACACGACUGCUUAAUGACAGUGAUGGAAGCAGAAUGUUUUCCUCGGCAUUGGUCAGUCUUAACACACACACACACACACACACACACACAGACACUAGUGACCAGUGCUUCCAUAUUCCCUGCAGCUUCCUCCUGCAUCAAACACCACCAAGCAUCACUAGAGAGACACGGCUACUUAAUGUAAUGUGAGUACAGCAAUGACUGCCUCGGUUAACAUCACCGCCUACACCAUAACACUCAACCCUUCCUCCUCCCUCCAGUAGCGUCUUUCAGUUCUUCAUUAUUAUUCGUUAUUAGGGUACUUUUUGAGAUUAUCGAUUUAUAUUUUACUUAUGUUUAUAUCUGAGUCGCGAUAUAGCUUGAAAUUUAGUAAAAAAUAAUGAAGGAUCGUCAAAAUGACAUCUGCGGUAGACAUAGGUCGUCCCUACUCAGCCAUUAUUUGCUUUAUUUCUCACGUAUUGUAAGCCAAACAUGUCACAAAAUGUAGCCUCAGUUCGAAUUUUCAUGUCCGCCUGUGAGGUAUAUCGCCAUUGCCUGGCUUUAGUGUGAUAACAGAGUAAUUCAGGCAAAUUAGCGGCCGCCAUGUUUGAUCUCUACAGGCCCCAGCCUGCUCUUCGGUUCCAAUAUAUUUUCGUUUUCCUUAACUCUUUAAGUUCGGUUUCUAAGUAAUUUUUUGUGGUUUGUAUAAAUGUUUCGUUGCUUAUGAAGUGGUUUUGAGGCUUUUGUUAAGGAAAUGUGUUGUAUUUGCUGUUGUUUAUAACGUAACUAUAGGCCUGUUUUUGGGCUGAAUUUUACGGAACCCCAUUGUUGGCUUUUUUAUUCGAGGCUAUAAUGAAGUUCUUUAUACUUUAAAAAAUCGCUUAUGAUUUUUAAACUGGUUUGCCGUCCUGUUGAGUUAAAUAUGUGGACUUUAAAAUGAUUUGUGGUCCUGUUAAAAGUCGAAAUGUUGACAUUUUUUAUUUCCUUAUUUCCUUAUUUGAGCUUUUAAGUAACUCUAGGUUAUUUGAAAAAAUAGUUCAGAUUUUUUAAAGUGCUUUGCAUUGCUAUUAAGUUAAAAUGGGUGGACUUUUCAAUGUUUUUUAUUCGUGUUUAGGUUCCAACACUUUUUUUUACAGAUUUAUUUUUCAUUCGUUUACUUCUGGUUCUAGGUAAGUUUUAAUUGAUUGAAAAGAUAGUUCAUAUUUUUAAAGUGUUUUUAUUUCUGUUAAGUGAAAAAAUAGGUAGACUUUUCAAUGGUUUUAAUGGGGUCAAAUGUUCCAACGUUUUUUUCAUAAUUCAUAUUGAUAUUUCUUUCAUACAAAUGAGGCUGGAGAUGUUAUAAUAUUAUGAAUAUUUAUUAAAGUAAUUAUCAAGUCAGAAUAUAUAAUGCAUUCCAACCUUGCUCCAUUUUUUCUAUGGGUCAAUUUUAAAAUGAAAUACGUUACGCACGUAUCCUGGCGUGACGUCACGACCUCAGGUGUGACGUCAUCAGGGGGCCAGGGGGGGGUCUCUGCCACAGACCCUUAUCUUCAAUAUUUCGAGUAAUUUCUAGUAUUUUUGACGUUUUUCCGUGUGUUUCUUAACUCAGGCAUGUAGAUAUUAGUUGUAGGAGGAAGAAAAAAGAAUAAAUAGGGAAGGAGGACGAAAAAGAAAGGAGAAAUGAAGGAGGCAAAACAGGGAAAUCCUAAGACAACAAUAUUUAGCUUAGUUUUCUAUGCUGCCCUGCCUUUGUUUGUAAUAUUUUCCUUGCCUGAGAGUGUCAGACUUUUUAAUGUGUUUGGAUGCGUUUUUUAGGUGAUUGAGUGUGUUUGGUGUGUUUUGGGGGCAUUUUGGUUUGUUCGGGUUUGUUUUGUAGGUGUUUGAAUAUGUUCGUGGGUGUAUUUUUUGUGUGUUUGGAGGUGUUUUGAGUGUGUUCUGGUGGUUUUAGGGUAUUUUGGAAUGUUUUAGAUGAUCUUCGCUGCCCUUUAAAGUGAUUUUGGGUGUUUUGAGUGUGUUUUGGGGUGAGCUAGGGAGGCAGGAGGGAAUGGUUAGGUCAGGUUGUGGGCUGGUU